AGGACGAACGCUGGCGGCGUGCUUAACACAUGCAAGUCGAGCGGUAAGGCCUUUCGGGGUACACGAGCGGCGAACGGGUGAGUAACACGUGGGUGAUCUGCCCUGCACUUCGGGAUAAGCCUGGGAAACUGGGUCUAAUACCGGAUAUGACCUCAGGUUGCAUGACUUGGGGUGGAAAGAUUUAUCGGUGCAGGAUGGGCCCGCGGCCUAUCAGCUUGUUGGUGGGGUAAUGGCCUACCAAGGCGACGACGGGUAGCCGACCUGAGAGGGUGACCGGCCACACUGGGACUGAGACACGGCCCAGACUCCUACGGGAGGCAGCAGUGGGAAUAUGCACAAUGGGCGAAAGCCUGAUGCAGCGACGCCGCGUGGAGGAUGACGGCCGUUCGGGUUCGUAAACCUCUUUCACGUCAGGGACGAAGCGACAAGUGACGGUACCUGCAGAAGAGCACCGGCUAACUACGUGCCAGCAGCCGAC
rnacentral:rRNA from 1 species